rnacentral:ncRNA from 2 species
AAGAUGGCUAAGAUAAGGACUAGUAGACACAACAACUUUUAUAGAGAGCUAGCGGGUGGUGUAAGCUAGUAAAGUCGUAUGUCGAACUCACCUUGGAGUCAGCAGUAGCGAAGUAGUAGUAGCUAAUGCCGUACGUCUGCGUUAAAGAUUUUAAGCUGAGUGUCGUCACUAAUUUGGGUGGUACCGCGGGAAAACUAAUUCUCGUCCCUUUC